GUACGGGAGGCGCAGCAGUAAGGAAUAUUGGUCAAUGGAGGCAACUCUGAACCAGCCAUGCCGCGUGCAGGAAGACGGCCCUAUGGGUUGUAAACUGCUUUUAUUCGGGAAUAAACCCUUUUACGUGUAGGAGGUUGAAUGUACCGAAAGAAUAAGGAUCGGCUAACUCCGUGCCAGCAGCCGCGGUAAUACGGAGGAUCCAAGCGUUAUCCGGAUUUAUUGGGUUUAAAGGGUGCGUAGGCGGCUUAUUAAGUCAGGGGUGAAAGACGGUGGCUCAACCAUCGCAGUGCCCUUGAUACUGAUGAGCUUGAAUACACUUGAGGUAGGCGGAAUGUGACAAGUAGCGGUGAAAUGCAUAGAUAUGUCACAGAACACCAAUUGCGAAGGCAGCUUACUAAGGUGCAAUUGACGCUGAGGCACGAAAGCGUGGGGAUCAAACAGGAUUAGAUACCCCGUAGUCU
rnacentral:rRNA from 1 species